GAGCCACUAUAGCUCAGCGGUUGAGUAUUUGCUUCUCAUGCAAAAGAUCUUUGGUCCAAUUCCUGACAUGUUCA